UGAGGAAUAUUGGUCAAUGGGCGCAAGCCUGAACCAGCCAUCCCGCGUGCAGGAAGACGGCGCUAUGCGUUGUAAACUGCUUUUCCAGGGAGAGAAACUUGCGCACGUGUUGCGCAAUUGACGGUACCCUGGGAAUAAGCAUCGGCUAACUCCGUGCCAGCAGCCGCGGUAAUACGGAGGAUGCGAGCGUUAUCCGGAUUCAUUGGGUCUAAAGGGUGCGUAGGCGGACUAUUAAGUCAGUGGUGAAAUCCUGCAGCUUAACUGCAGAACUGCCAUUGAUACUGAUAGCCUUGAGUUUGGUUAAGGUAGGCGGAAUAUGUAAUGUAGCGGUGAAAUGCUUAGAUAUUACACAGAACACCAAUUGCGUAGGCAGCUUACUGAGCCGACACUGACGCUGAGGCACGAAAGCGUGGGGAGCGAACAG
rnacentral:rRNA from 1 species